GUGAAAUGGCUUUUCCCCAUUAUUUCUAAAUUUCUCUCAUUAUCCGCAAAACCCUGCUAGAAAAACAACAAAAUGGCCAAAACAUCUACCUUUCAAAAAUUUCAGAAUUUCUGCAAUGGAACCUGUGGAUGUUUGUGUGCAAUUGGUGUGGUGGUCUUAACAAUCUAUGUGUGAGAUAAUUAUUUUGAAAUACACAUUCUAGGCUUGAAAAGGAAAAUGCCGAGUUAAAAGAUACAAACAAAAUGCAAGCGGGCACAAUUGAAGAGCUUCAGAGAAACCCGCCGGGUCCAAGUUCGGCUUGAAAAGGAAAAUGCCGAGUUAAAAGAUACAAACAAAAUGCAAGCGGGCACAAUUGAAGAGCUUCAGAGAAACCCGCCGGGUCCAAGUUCGGUAAGUCGGGUUUUUUCUGUCAUAACCGAAAAGGAAUUUUAAUUGUGUUACCAAUAUUAUAUGAGACUAUUUUAGAAAAUAGGA
rnacentral:lncRNA from 1 species